rnacentral:misc_RNA from 1 species
GAUGAAGAACGCAGCGAAAUGCGAUAAGUAAUGUGAAUUGCAGAAUUCAGUGAACCAUCGAAUCUUUGAACGCACAUUGCGCCCGCCAGUAUUCUGGCGGGCAUGCCUGUCCGAGCGUCAUCUCAACCCUCGAGCCCCCCCGGGGGCUCGGCGUUGGGGACCGGCCCCGCCCCAGGGCGCGCCGCCCCCCAAAUCCAGUGGCGGUCCCGCCGCAGCCUCCCCUGCGCAGUAGCUUGCAUACUCGCACCGGAGAGCGGCGCGGCCACGCCGUAAAACCCCCCGACCACGGAGCCCCGGCUCCUGAACGUUGACCUCGGAUCAGGUAGGAAUACCCGCUGAACUUAAGCAUAUCAAUAAGCGGAGGA